UGAGGAAUAUUGGUCAAUGGGCGCAAGCCUGAACCAGCCAUCCCGCGUGCAGGAAGACGGCGCUAUGCGUUGUAAACUGCUUUUCCAGGGAGAGAAACUUGCGCACGUGUUGCGCAAUUGACGGUACCCUGGAAUAAGCAUCGGCUAACUCCGUGCCAGCAGCCGCGGUAAUACGGAGGAUGCGAGCGUUAUCCGGAUUCAUUGGGUUUAAAGGGUGCGUAGGCGGACUAUUAAGUCAGUGGUGAAAUCCUGCAGCUUAACUGCAGAACUGCCAUUGAUACUGAUAGCCUUGAGUUUGGUUAAGGUAGGCGGAAUGUGUAAUGUAGCGGUGAAAUGCUUAGAUAUUACACAGAACACCAAUUGCGUAGGCAGCUUACUGAGCCGACACUGACGCUGAGGCACGAAAGCGUAAGGAUCGAACAG
rnacentral:rRNA from 1 species